rnacentral:rRNA from 1 species
GACGAACGCUGGCGGCGUGCUUAACACAUGCAAGUCGAACGGAAAGGCCCUGCUUUUGUGGGGUGCUCGAGUGGCGAACGGGUGAGUAACACGUGAGUAACCUGCCCUUGACUUUGGGAUAACUUCAGGAAACUGGGGCUAAUACCGGAUAGGAGCUCCUGCUGCAUGGUGGGGGUUGGAAAGUUUCGGCGGUUGGGGAUGGACUCGCGGCUUAUCAGCUUGUUGGUGGGGUAGUGGCUUACCAAGGCUUUGACGGGUAGCCGGCCUGGGAGGGUGACCGGUCACAUUGGGACUGAGAUACGGCCCAGACUCCUACGGGAGGCAGCAGUGGGGAAUAUUGCACAAUGGGCGGAAGCCUGAUGCAGCAACGCCGCGUGCGGGAUGACGGCCUUCGGGUUGUAAACCGCUUUCGCCUGUGACGAAGCGUGAGUGACGGUAAUGGGUAAAGAAGCACCGGCUAACUACGUG